rnacentral:rRNA from 1 species
CCCUUAGAUGUUCUGGGCUGCACACGUGCUACACUGGCAGGUUCAGCGAGCUUCAUGCCCUGAUCUGAAAGGAAUGGGAAAUCUUUUCAAAACCUGCCGUGCUUGGGAUAGAUGUUUGCAAUUAUUCAUCUUCAACGAGGAUUGCCUUGUAAGCGCACGUCAUCAGCGUGCAUUGAAUACGACCCUGUAUUCUGUACACACCGCCCGUCGCUCCUACCGAUUGAAGUUUUCGGUGAGUUAACAGGAGGAUUUUUUUGAAACUGGUUCGCCAGUGGAUUUUAGAUCCAAAUGCCAACGAAUCGAUGGCUUUAGAGGAAGGAGAAGUCGUAACA